rnacentral:rRNA from 1 species
UACGUAGGGUGCGAGCGUUAAUCGGAAUUACUGGGCGUAAAGCGUGCGUAGGCGGUUCGUUAUGUCUGCUGUGAAAGCCCCGGGCUUAACCUGGGAAUGGCAGUGGAAACUGGCGGGCUUGAGUGUGGCAGAGGGGGGUGGAAUUCCGCGUGUAGCAGUGAAAUGCGUAGAGAUGCGGAGGGACACCGAUGGCGAAGGCAGCCCCCUGGGCUGACACUGACGCUGAGGCACGAAAGCGUGGGGAGCAAACAGG